GACGAACGCUGGCGGCGUGCCUAAUACAUGCAAGUCGAACGCAGUGGGGACGGGUGAGUAACACGUGGGUAACCUCCCAUCAGAGGGGAUAACACUUGGAAACAGGUGCUAAACCGAUACCCAUGGAUGGACCCGCUUGGCAUUAGCUAGUUGGUGAGGUAACGGCGCACCAAGGCCACGAUGCAUAGCCGAGCGGGGAGGGUGAUCGGCCACACUGGGACUGAGAAACGGCCCAGACUCCUACGGGAGGCAGAAGUAGGGAAUCUUCGGCAAUGGACGAAAGUCUGACCGAGCAACGCCGCGUGAGUGAAGAAGGUUUUCGGAUCGUAAAACUAUGUUGUUAGAGAAGCGGUAUCUAAAGAGAAAGCCACGGCUAACUACGUGCCAGCAGCCGCGGUAAUUG
rnacentral:rRNA from 1 species